rfam:Cucumis melo, WGS project CAJI01000000 data, contig: 33119
UCGAGCCGGAUGAUGAAAAAUUAUCAUGUCCGGUUCUUUCGGGGGAUGGAUCCAUAAUAAUUCACCUAUCCUAAU